rnacentral:rRNA from 1 species
GAUGAACGCUGGCGGCGUGCCUAAUACAUGCAAGUCGAGCGAACAGACGAGGAGCUUGCUCCUCUGACGUUAGCGGCGGACGGGUGAGUAACACGUGGAUAACCUACCUAUAAGACUGGGAUAACUUCGGGAAACCGGAGCUAACCGGAUAAUAUAUUGAACCGCAUGGUUCAAUAGUGAAAGACGGUUUUGCUGUCACUUAUAGAUGGAUCCGCGCCGCAUUAGCUAGUUGGUAAGGUAACGGCUUACCAAGGCAACGAUGCGUAGCCGACCUGAGAGGGUGAUCGGCCACACUGGAACUGAGACACGGUCCAGACUCCUACGGGAGGCAGCAGUAGGGAAUCUUCCGCAAUGGGCGAAAGCCUGACGGAGCAACGCCGCGUGAGUGAUGAAGGUCUUCGGAUCGUAAAACUCUGUUAUUAGGGAAGAACAAAUGUGUAAGUAACUAUGCACGUCUUGACGGUACCUAAUCAGAAAGCCACGGCUAACUACGUG